rnacentral:rRNA from 1 species
GAUGAACGCUAGCUACAGGCUUAACACAUGCAAGUCGAGGGGCAGCACAGUGUAGCAAUACACGGGUGGCGACCGGCGCACGGGUGCGUAACGCGUAUCCAAUCUUCCCGUUACUCUUGGAUAGCCUUCCGAAAGGGAGAUUAGUACAAGAUGGUAUUCAAAUUCCGCAUGUUAUUUGAAUUAAAGAUUUAUCGGUAACGGAUGGGGAUGCGUGACAUUAGGUAGAUGGCGGGGUAACGGCCCACCAUGCCUACGAUGUCUAGGGGUUCUGAGAGGAAGGUCCCCCACACUGGAACUGAGACACGGUCCAGACUCCUACGGGAGGCAGCAGUGAGGAAUAUUGGUCAAUGGCCGGAAGGCUGAACCAGCCAAGUAGCGUGAAGGAUGAAGGUUCUAUGGAUUGUAAACUUCUUUUAUAUAGGAAUAAAGCCCACUACGUGUAGUGGUUUGUAUGUACUAUAUGAAUAAGCAUCGGCUAACUCCGUGCCAGCCGCCGCAGUAAAAC